UGGGGAAUAUUGGACAAUGGGCGAAAGCCUGAUCCAGCCAUGCCGCGUGUGUGAAGAAGGUCUUCGGAUUGUAAAGCACUUUAAGUUGGGAGGAAGGGCAGUAAGCGAAUACCUUGCUGUUUUGACGUUACCGACAGAAUAAGCACCGGCUAACUCUGUGCCAGCAGCCGCGGUAAUACAGAGGGUGCAAGCGUUAAUCGGAAUUACUGGGCGUAAAGCGCGCGUAGGUGGUUCGUUAAGUUGAAUGUGAAAGCCCCGGGCUCAACCUGGGAACGGCAUCCAAAGCUGGCGAGCUAGAGUAGGGCAGAGGGUGGUGGAAUUUCCUGUGUAGCGGUGAAAUGCGUAGAUAUAGGAAGGAACACCAGUGGCGAAAGCGACCACCUGGGCUCAUACUGACACUGAGGUGCGAAAGCGUGGGGAGCAAACAGG
rnacentral:rRNA from 1 species